UAAGUAGGUAGUGAAAUCGUGUGGCUCAACCAUACUCACAUUAUCUAAACUGCUAAGCUAGAGUAUAUGAGAGGUAGUUGGAAUUCCUAGUGUAGGAGUGAAAUCCGUAGAUAUUAGGAGGAACACCGAUGGCGUAGGCAGACUACUGGCAUAUUACUGACACUAAGGCACGAAAGCGUGGGGAGCGAACAGGAUUAGAUACCCUGGUAGUCCACGCCGUAAACUAUGGAUGCUA
rnacentral:rRNA from 1 species